rnacentral:lncRNA from 1 species
GUUAAGUAUUUUUGCAUAACAAAGCAAAGCACACAGGGGAGCCUGAGGGAAUGGCAGGAGGCCUUGUGGCCCCAUGGUGUUUCAGGUGUGUGCAGUGGCCAGCCCACUGAGCUGUGCCAUCAGAUAUGAGGAAUUAUUUGUUUCUAUUGUGCCUCCUAUUGAGGCAGGGGUAAUGAAGUGGCAGUGCUGGUGGCUCCUCUGGGGGCCAGAAGGCAUCUGUUCCACCUGAGCUCAUAAGUGGACUCAGCAGCUCAGGCCAAACCCUUUACACCUGCCUGUGUCCUCCCCACUGCCUGAAGUUAUGGGAGAUGUGCUGUGCAUUUGCAAAAACCUCUGGACAAGGGGCAAGGACUUGGAAUGUAGCCCACCCUACUCCUCAGUCCACAAUGUAAGGUAAAGGAGGUCCUGGGACUGGCUACUGCCCUCCUCUUCCGCUAUGCUUGCUGCUCUGUUAAACUUGUUUUUAUGGUAAGUAGAUUAGUAAUAUUUUAUUUGGUGGGGGGUAGUAGGAUGGCCUUAGGCCUGAGCCUAAGCAACUCCAUUUUUAAAAACCUGUAGUCUCACCAGGCACACCCAUAGAUCCCUCCAGUAUGGCCUCAAACAAGUUCCUUUCCCUCACCCUGAUAAAGAGAGUGAAGUCCCUGGCAGGCUGUCCUCGUCUGAUAAGAGGAAAAGGUGAAAAGAUCAGGGUGGAGACCACAAAACCAGAUGUUUCUGACCCCAGGGUGAAUGAUGACACUGAGAAAUCUGGUGGUAGCUGAUUAGGAUUGAAAGUGAGGGUCAAAAACCCCCCAAAUUUAGUAUAAAUGAUAGAGUAAAUGAACCGGGAUUCAGCCAGCCAAAAAAAGGAUGAACUCGAGCUAGAGAGCCUGAUGAGGACCUGCCAUCUCAUCACUUGUCAUCAUUCCCUGAGCCUCUGCAUGAUCCUCACUACUCUCAAACUCUACCACCUUGUCUGAGUCUUCGCAAAAGCCACAGCUUUUCCCUAUAACCCCCUCCUCAACCAGUCGUCCACUUCAUGCCAGGAAAAGUGUGCCUUGGUUCUGGACCUGAUCACCAUGGUCUGAGUGUGCACCUGCUGGACUCAAAGCCUAAGACUUAAGACCUUUGAAUGUAGCAUGCAGAGGGAAUGUUUGUCAUUAGCCUAUCAUUAUUAAGUUUGUUUUGUAGUCCUUAGAAUUAAUCUAGAAUUGUUUGCUGUGAGUUGAUUAUGUCUAUUGCAGUGCCUAGCAUUAAGGAUUCUCAUUUUCUUGAUUAAGAAACUAUAGAAUGAAAUUGCAUUAAGUAAUUUGAGUGAAUAUAGCAUUGAAAGUUGCAGAAGUGUGUG